rnacentral:rRNA from 1 species
GAUGAACGCUGGCGGCGUGCCUAAUACAUGCCAGUCGAGCGAACAGACGAGGAGCUUGCUCCUCUGACGUUAGCGGCGGACGGGUGAGUAACACGUGGAUAACCUACCUAUAAGACUGGGAUAACUUCGGGAAACCGGAGCUAAUACCGGAUAAUAUAUUGAACCGCAUGGUUCAAUAGUGAAAGACGGUUUUGCUGUCACUUAUAGAUGGAUCCGCGCCGCAUUAGCUAGUUGGUAAGGUAACGGCUUACCAAGGCAACGAUGCGUAGCCGACCUGAGAGGGUGAUCGGCCACACUGGAACGUAGACACGGUCCAGACUCCUACGGGAGGCAGCAGUAGGGAAUCUUCCGCAAUGGGCGAAAGCCUGACGGAGCAACGCCGAGUGAGUGAUGAAGGUCUUCGGAUCGUAAAACUCUGUUAUUAGGGAAGAACAAAUGUGGAAGUAACUAUGCACGUCUUGACGGUACCUAAUCAGAAAGCCACGGCUAACUACGUG